rnacentral:rRNA from 1 species
AACGAACGCUGGCGGCAGGCCUAACACAUGCAAGUCGAGCGCCCUUUCGGGGGAGCGGCGGACGGGUGAGUAACGCGUGGGAAUAUGCCCUUCUCUACGGAAUAGCCUCGGGAAACUGAGAGUAAUACCGUAUACGCCCUAUGGCGGAAAGAUUUAUCGGGGAGGGAUUAGCCCGCGUUGGAUUAGGUGGUGGGUGGGGUAAUGGCCUACCAUGCCGACGAUCCAUAGCUGGUUUGAGAGGAUGAUAAGCCACAAUGGGACUGAGACCCGGCCCAGACUCGUACGGGAGGCAGCAGAGGGGAGUCUUAGACAAUGGAGGCAAACCUGAUCUAGCCAUGCGGCGUGAGUGAUGAAGGCCUUAGGAUUGUAAAGCUCUUUGAGCUGGGAAGAGAAUGACGGUACCAGCAGAAGAAGCACCGGCUAACUACGUG